UCCCGCUUACACGGGCAGUUUCUUGUGAGUCCCCGACAUUACUCGCUGGUAACACAAAAUGAGGGUUGCGCUCGUUGCUGGACUUAACCAAACACCUCACGGCACGAGCUGACGACAGCCAUGCAACAUCUGUCUUCAGGUCUACCUUGUGGGUAGAGGGGCACAUUUCUGCACCUUUCCAUCGAUGUCAAGACUGGGUAAGGUUCUUCGGUUAGUAUCGAAUUAAUCCACAUGCUCCACCGCUUGUGCGGGGUCCCGUCAAUUCAUUUGAGUUUCAACCUUGCGGCCGUAGUCCCCAGGCGGGAUACUUAAUGCGUUAGCUGCGACACCAGGGGGGUCGAUACCCCUGACGUCUAGUAUCCAUCGUUUAGGGCGUGGACUAC
rnacentral:misc_RNA from 1 species